rnacentral:tRNA from 1 species
CAGAAAGUAGUUUAAUUAGAAUACUAACAUUGGAAGUUAGAGAUUAAGUUUAGUACUUACUUUUUGA